rnacentral:rRNA from 1 species
GUCCUAGCCCUAAACGAUCAGGACUUGGGGUGCCGCCCGUUCGGGCGUCGUCCCGGAGCUAACGCGUUAAGUCCUGCACCUGGGGAGUACGGUCGCAAGACUGAAACUCAAAGGAAUUGACGGGGCCCGCACAAGCGGUGGAACAUGUGGUUCAAUUCGACGCUACGCGAGGAACCUUACCUGGGCUCGAAAUGCUCGUGACCAGCUGUAGAAAUACGGCCUUCCCGCAAGGGACACGAGUAUAGGCGCUGCAUGGCUGUCGU